AUUUUUGGGGCGAAAAAUAAUUUCUUUUAUUUGUAGUGCUUGUUCUCAACUUCAGAAAACCGAAAAGUAAACAAAAGCCCGCUCUGAAGGCGUUUGGAAUCCGCUUUUGCUUCUGAACUAAGUUGUCAUUUCUGUGUAAAGAAUAAAUUCGAGCCCAUUCAAGUUCAUUGUAAUUAGGGUUUUAGUAAAAAAAUUUGAGUUAAAAUAAUAAUAGUCGAUCAUCAUGACGAUUCUUGAGAAGAAGAGAGUUCAGAUUCUGCUCAUUGUUGGUGUAAUUGCUCUCAGUAUAACUGGUGAGCAACUUUCGUAUUUUAUUUAUUUAUUUUGCUAUUUUGUGGGUUAACUUUCAGUUCGUUUAUUUUAAUGUACUUCAAUUUAUGCGUCUUAAAUGAUUUGAUCCCUUUUUUAUGCUUUUUUCUUUUGAAAUGUUGAAAUGAAUCACUUCAUUUCUAAAUUGGAAAAAACGAUUGCCGGUUAAAUUUCUUUUUGACUGAAAACAAGUUGCUAAUUUAGUUGAAUUUCGUUAGAACCUAAGAAGUAAGGUUAUAUAGACAAAAUUAAUUGGACCUUGGAAUCUGAAAUGAAAGAACAUUCUGUUAAAUAUAUUUUCCCUUUCCUUAACUGUAACCCUGCACU
rnacentral:lncRNA from 1 species